AAUAAGCCCCGGCUAACUACGUGCCAGCAGCCGCGGUAAUACGUAGGGGGCGAGCGUUGUCCGAAUUUACUGGGCGUAAAGCGCGCGUAGGCGGGCCUUUAAGUUGGUGGUGAAAUGCCGGAGCUCAACUCCGGAACUGCCUUCAAAACUGGGGGUCUUGAGGUAUGGAGAGGGAAGUGGAAUUCCUGGUGUAGCGGUGAAAUGCGUAGAUAUCAGGAGGAACACCCGUGGCGAAGGCGGCUUCCUGGCCAUAUCCUGACGCUGAGGUGCGAAAGCUAGGGGAGCGAACGGGAUUAGAUACCCCGGUAGUCCUAGCCGUAAACGAUGGAUACUAGGUGUUAGUGGUAUCGACCCCACUAGUGCCGGAGCUAACGCA
rnacentral:rRNA from 1 species